UGGAUUGUUCAGUGUAUAUUAAUUAUUUAUUUUCAUUUUACUUAAAAUAUAUGUUUUUGUUAAGUUAACAUAUGUUUUUCUAAUCAAGUCUACGUAAUUGUGUCUAUUAUUCAACGUACAUAAUACUAAUGUGUUACUUGAUCGCAUAACAUUUAAGUUAAGUCAAUUAGGAUCGAUAUACCUUGUAUAUCCACAAGGUGGCAGUAAUGCAAAAACAGUUGUAAUGAAACCGCGCAGAACAAGAAGGUUUCACGGCUUGUGCCUGCUCAUGCGCAAGACUUCAAAUUUAACUGAAAAAGGCUGUUUUGGCGCCAAGCUGCUGUUUCUUUGAGAGAUCCUGCCUUUACCUGCUCCCUCCUAUACUGAUGUGGUGUAUGUGGUACUGCUGAGCUUGUAUGUGGUGGAAGCAGAAUAUGUGAGGAUUACUACUGCUGCACAUGUUCCAAGGCUUUUUACACAACUUGACCAAUACACUGACCAGCUCAUAAAAGUCUUCAAGAAAAAAGGAGGCGUUGCAGGGAAGAAAAUUAGACAAACUUUGGCCCCAGCCACACAGAAGGAAACCAUUGAAAAGGGGAGGGAGUGUGUCCUCAGGGCACUACCUUUUUACCUGAAUGAAGACCCAAGCAUCCUCUUCAAAGAAUAAUUGCUACAGCUGUUCAGAGGGAGCUGGAACAAAUUACCCUUGCUAUCUUUACCAUCGAAAGAGCUGAUGCCAGCACUCCUCCAGCCGAUGUGGGUAUAACCAUCUAGUGUGUCCUGCAUGACCUGGAAGACCUGGCCUCUGCAUGUGCACUCUUAAUGGGUGGGAUAUAUGCACUGAAUCUCAGUUAACCUCAAGACUGAAAGCUAAGAGACAA